rnacentral:rRNA from 1 species
CGGACGGGUGAGUAACACAUAGGAAUCUGCCCAGUAGCGGGGGACAACUUGGGGAAACUCAAGCUAAUACCGCAUACGCCCUACGGGGGAAAGCGGGGGACCUUCGGGCCUCGCACUAUUGGAUGAGCCUAUGUCAGAUUAGCUUGUUGGUGGGGUAAUGGGCCUACCAAGGCGACGAUCUGUAGCUGGUCUGAGAGGACGAUCAGCCACACUGGGACUGAGACACGGCCCAG